UAAUUCAUUUCAACCAAUUCAAUCAAUCACCUACUUAAGUGAAUCGUAUCGAACAAACAAUUAACCAAAAGCUGAAUGCUAACAACAAUUACUAAUCACGAGCAUCAUUGUCAACAUGAACCAAAUUGUACAACUGAAUUCAAUUACUACGCUAAAGUAUAAUCCAAAUAGUUCACAACAGUCCACUUUAUACAGAUAACUCGAAUUAACACAUUGUUCUAUACACCAGAGAUAAAACAUGGCAUGAAAUCAAUAGAUCUCUUCAAACAACGUUCCACUUCAUAUUCAAAAGCUUGAAAGUCGCAAAUGUGUACCUGGAUUAUUGCAAUAUAAGAAAAAGAAAAAAGAAUCAGCAGCAGCCAAGAGCAGAAAUCAAACGCAUCCAGAGAAAUGCAACGGCCCAGAAAGGUUUUAGAAAACCAAAUAUAGCCAAUAGAUCUACUCAAAUAAACACCAAAAUGCCCAGGAACAAACCAGGAAAGCAACACAAUCAACAGAUCAAACCAAAACAGCGUUUAAUAAUCCAAAAUGAACCCAGUCCUUCAUUCAUAAUCAGUAAACACUAAUAACUGAUUCGAACUGCUCUUAAUUCUCUAUAUGAGCUAGAGACUUAAAAUCUGUAACUGAUUGAAUAAAACUAAGGUAACCGUAAUGUUUUUAGAUUUUUAUUGAUUUUGUGUUUGUUUUUUGGAUUUUGAAUGCUGAAAUUCAAAUCUUGAUCUGAAACUAAGGAGAGCU
rnacentral:lncRNA from 1 species